rnacentral:rRNA from 1 species
CUGUCAGAUUGAACGCUGGCGGCAGGCCUAACACAUGCAAGUCGAGCGGCAGCGGAAAGUAGCUUGCUACUUUGCCGGCGAGCGGCGGACGGGUGAGUAAUGUCUGGGAAACUGCCUGAUGGAGGGGGAUAACUACUGGAAACGGUAGCUAAUACCGCAUGACCUCGAAAGAGCAAAGUGGGGGAUCUUCGGACCUCACGCCAUCGGAUGUGCCCAGAUGGGAUUAGCUAGUAGGUGAGGUAAUGGCUCACCUAGGCGACGAUCCCUAGCUGGUCUGAGAGGAUGACCAGCCACACUGGAACUGAGACACGGUCCAGACUCCUACGGGAGGCAGCAGUGGGGAAUAUUGCACAAUGGGCGCAAGCCUGAUGCAGCCAUGCCGCGUGUGUGAAGAAGGCCUUAGGGUUGUAAAGCACUUUCAGCGAGGAGGAAGGCAUCAUACUUAAUACGUGUGGUGAUUGACGUUACUCGCAGAAGAAGCACCGGCUAACUCCGUGCCAUGCAGCCGCGGUAAUACGGAGGGUGCAAGCGUUAAUCGGAAUUACUGGGCGUAAAGCGCACGCAGGCGGUUUGUUAAGUCAGAUGUGAAAUCCCCGCGCUUAACGUGGGAACUGCAUUUGAAACUGGCAAGCUAGAGUCUUGUAGAGGGGGGUAGAAUUCCAGGUGUAGCGGUGAAAUGCGUAGAGAUCUGGAGGAAUACCGGUGGCGAAGGCGGCCCCCUGGACAAAGACUGACGCUCAG